AGUUCCUAGCAUGCAGCAGCAGGAAGUAAAUACACUUGAUAUUUCAAGACCUUAAGAGUUCUUAGUCAUCCUACAUCUCCAAUCUACCUCUUAAACUUAAGCUCUGGUGUGACUGUGGGAUUCGAAUCUGAACUCUAUCACUUGCUGGUGACCAGCAGCCUAAGAAUUUGUUCAAGGUGAUACAGAAGUGGUCUGACCUUCCUGCCACAGACUCAUCUCACAGCACUGGGGCCUUUUUGAAUCAGUAGGGCAAGUGACAUGGAAUCGAGUUAAUGGCUAGCCCAUCACCUUGACUUUCAGGAAUCCCAGUUCUCCAGUUGCUUCAGAAGUGCUGAUCAUUGUCUCUGGAAGAAUCCAGUGAGAGACAAAGCGAUCGGUAAGGAGUGGAUUUAUUCAGAGAAAUACACAUUCCAUAGACAAAAUGUGAUCUAUCUCAAAAGUGAGUGUACAAUGAGGCCCAAGGACUGCUGCUGCUGCUGCUAAGUUGCUUCAGUCGUGUCUGACUCUGUGCGACCCCAUAGAUGGCAGCUCACCAGGCUCCCCUGUCUCUGGGAUUCUCCAGGCAAGAACACUGGAGUGGGUUGCCAUUUCCUUCUCCAAUGCAUGAAAGUGAAAAGUGAAAGUGAAGUUGCUGAGUUGUGUCUGACUCCUAGCGACCCCAUGGACUGCAGCCCACCAGGCUCCUCCAUCCAUGGGAUUUGCCAGGCAAGAGUACUGGAGUGGGAUGCUACUGCCUUCUCCGAGCUCAAGGACUACUCGGAGUUAAAUCUUCCACCAUCUUGGAUCUAGUUGGUU
ensembl:lncRNA